rnacentral:rRNA from 1 species
UACGAAGGGGGCUAGCGUUGUUCGGAAUUACUGGGCGUAAAGCGCGCGCAGGCGGCUAUCCAAGUCAGUGGUGAAAGCCCGGAGCUCAACUCCGGAACUGCCAUUGAAACUGUUUAGCUUGAGGAUGAGAGAGGUGAGUGGAAUUCCCAGUGUAGAGGUGAAAUUCGUAGAUAUUGGGAAGAACACCGGUGGCGAAGGCAGCCCCCUGGGCUGAGAUUGACGCUCAGGCACGAAAGCGUGGGGAGCAAACAGG